rnacentral:rRNA from 1 species
CCUACGGGGGGCAGCAGUGAGGAAUAUUGGUCAAUGGACGAGAGUCUGAACCAGCCAAGUAGCGUGAAGGAUGACUGCCCUAUGGGUUGUAAACUUCUUUUAUAUAGGAAUAAAAUGUUCCACGUGUGGGUUUUUGUAUGUACUAUAUGAAUAAGGAUCGGCUAACUCCGUGCCAGCAGCCGCGGUAAUACGGAGGAUCCGAGCGUUAUCCGGAUUUAUUGGGUUUAAAGGGAGCGUAGGUGGAUUGUUAAGUCAGUUGUGAAAGUUUGCGGCUCAACCGUAAAAUUGCAAUUGAGACUGGCAGUCUUGAGUACAGUAGAGGUGGGCGGAAUUCGUGGUGUAGCGGUGAAAUGCUUAGAUAUCACGAAGAACCCCGAUUGCGAAGGCAGCUCACUGAACUGUGACUGACAUUGAGGCUCGAAAGUGUGGGUAUCAAACAGGAUUAGAUACCCUGGUAGUC